CCUACGGGAGGCAGCAGCAAGGAAUCUUCCGCAAUGGGGGCAACCCUGACGGAGCAACGCCGCGUGGGGGAUGACGCCCUUCGGGGUGUCAACCCCUUUUCUGCGGGAAGAAGGCGCUCACGCGCUUGACGGUACCGGAGGAAGAACGACCGGCUAACUACCUGCCUACAUCCGCGGUAAUACCUACGGUCCGAGCGUUGUCCGGAGUUACUGGGCGUAAAGCGCGCGCAGGCGGCGGUGCUGGCCCGGCGUGAAAGCCCCCGGCUCAACCGGGGAGGGUCGCCCGGGACCGCACCGCUUGAUGGCGGUAGGGGCUGGUGGAAUGCCUGGUGUAAUGGUGAAAUGCGUGGAGAUCUGGCGGAAUACCCGUGGCGAAGGCGGCCAGCUGGGCCGUCCCUGACGCUGAAGCUGAAACGCGUGUGGAGCGAACGGGAUUAUAUACCCCGGUAGUCCACCCGGUAAACGAUGCCGACUACGCGUGGGGGGAGUUGACCCCCUCCGUGCCGCAACCAACUGCCGGAGUCUGCCGCCUGGGGAAUCCGGCCG
rnacentral:rRNA from 1 species